CCUCAGGGACCCCCUCCCGCCCGGCUCUGGAAAGGGGAAAAGGGGUUAAACUUACCUUUUUCCAGCGCUGGGCGGAGAGCUCUCCUCCUUCUCUCCUCCUCUGUUCCUCCUCCUGGGCUGAAUGCGCACGCGCGGCAAGAGCUGCGCGCGCAUUCAGCCCGUCGCAUAGGAAAGCAUUUACAAUGCUUUCCUAUGGACGCUUGCGUGCU